rnacentral:rRNA from 1 species
CUGUUCUACAAGUCCUCCGUUAAAUCCACCUGCUCAACAGAUGGGCUGCGGGGGAUACUAUAGAGCUAGGAGGCGGGAGAGGCAAGCGGUACUCGAUGGGUAGGGGUAAAAUCCGUUGAUCCAUUGAAGACCACCAGUGGCGAAGGCGGCUUGCCAGAACGCGCUCGACGGUGAGGGAUGAAAGCUGGGGGAGCAAACCGGAUUAGAUACCCGGGUAGUCCCAGCUGUAAACGAUGCAGACUCGGUGAUGGGUUGGCUUCGAGCCAACCCAGUGCCGCAGGGAAGCCGUUAAGUCUGCCGCCUGGGGA